rnacentral:rRNA from 1 species
AUGUCCCAUCAAGCUAGCAUCUAUCCAAAUAUUUCAGUCUGGCCAGGAGGCUUCGUGCCGAAGCCCAACACCGCCAAUGAGAAUGGACACCACCAGGGGUUCAUUUCACAGGAACCGUUUUACUGUAUUGUCCUCGUCAUUUGGGUGAUUGCGGCACUUUGGCCACCGGGACGUCGUGCUGCGCGAGAAGAAGCUCAGGGGGGCCGUGCCCAGGGAGAUGGGCGUCGUCGACGUCGUCUGCCCCGGCGCGCCCGAGACCGCCGCCGAGGCUCUCAAGCUCGCCGAGUAGCUGGCCGCCAGGAAGUGGGACGGCGCGUGUACGCGUCGAUUAGGAUGUCCAUGUUCCCUGAUGCGUGCAGGGCCGUUGGGAUUGCCGUGGAGAGUGACGAGGAGAAGAGCAGGCACUUCGCCUCCAGGCUCUGA